rnacentral:rRNA from 1 species
GACGAACGCUGGCGGCGUGCUUAACACAUGCAAGUCGAACGCUGAAGCUUGGUGCUUGCACUGGGUGGAUGAGUGGCGAACGGGUGAGUAAUACGUGAGUAACCUGCCCUUGACUCUGGGAUAAGCCUGGGAAACUGGGUCUAAUACUGGAUACGACAUGUCACCGCAUGGUGGUGUGUGGAAAGGGUUUUACUGGUUUUGGAUGGGCUCACGGCCUAUCAGCUUGUUGGUGGGGUAUGGCUCACCAAGGCGACGACGGGUAGCCGGCCUGAGAGGGUGACCGGCCACACUGGGACUGAGACACGGCCCAGACUCCUACGGGAGGCAGCAGUGGGGAAUAUUGCACAAUGGGCGGAAGCCUGAUGCAGCGACGCCGCGUGAGGGAUGACGGCCUUCGGGUUGUAAACCUCUUUCAGCACGGAAGAAGCGAAAGUGACGGUACGUGCAGAAGAAGCGCCGGCUAACUACGUG